rnacentral:lncRNA from 1 species
AUGGAUACAGUGACUUAUGAUGAUGUGGAUGUGAAUUUCACUGAGGAAGAUUGGAAUUUGCUGAUCUUUCCCAGAAGAAUCUCUACAAAGAUGUGAUGCUGGAGUACUACUGGAACCUCACUGCUAUAGGCUACAUUGAAGAACACUGUCAAAGUUCUAGAAAACCUAUAAGAACUCAUAGUGGAGAGAAACCCUAUGAAUGUAAUAAAUGUGGUGAUGCCUUUGCAAGACCCAUUCAAUUCCAAAGACAUAAAAGAACACAUAAUGCAGAGAAAUCCUAUGAAUGUAAUCAGUGUGGUAAAGCCUUUGCAAGACACAGUCAUCUCCAGUAUCAUAAAGGAACCCAUACCAGAGAGAAACCAUAUGAAUGUAAUCAAUGUGGUAAAACCUUUGUAUGGCACAGUCAUCUCCAAAAUACAUAAAAGAACACAUACUAGAGAGAAACCUUAUGAAUGUAUUCAAUGUGGUAAAGCGUUUUCACAGUGGAAUCAUCUCCAAUAUCAUAAAAGAGCACAUACUAGAGAGAAAUCUUAUAAAUGUAAACAAUGUGGUAAAGCCUUUGCAGGACCAGUCAUCUCCAAAGACAUAAAAGAACACAUACUGGAGAGAAACCCUAUGGUAAAGCCUAUGCAGAAGAGAGAACACUCCAAUAUCAUAAAAGAACACAUACUCAAGAAAGAAACUUAUGAAUGUAAUCAAUGAGGUAAAGCCUUUGCAACACCCAGUCAUCUCCAAUAACAUAAAAUAGCACAUACUGGAGAGAAACCUUAUAAAUGUAAUCAAUGAUGUAAAGUCUUUGUUACUCCCAAUCAUCUCCAAAGACAUAAAAGAAAAUAUACUGGAGAGAGGUCUUAUGAAUGUAAUCAAAGUGGUAAAAACCUUUUCACAAAGUUAUUGUCUCCAAAAUCAUAAAAUAACCCAUUUUGGAAAGAAACCUUAUGAAUGUAGUCAGUGUGCUAAAGCCUAUACAUGACCCAUUAGUCUCUAAAACAUAAAAGGUCCCAUACUGGAAAGAAACCUCAUGAAUAUAUUCAAUGUAGUAAAGAAUUUUCACAACUUUGUAGUCUCGAUUAUUACAAAAGAACACAUACAGGAGAGAAAACUUAUGAAUGUACUGAGUGUUGAAAAGCAUUUUCCCACCACAGUUAUCUGCAGCCACAUGAAGAUCACAUACAAAGGAGAAACCACAUGAAUGUUAACAAUAUGGUAAAGCCUUUGCAUGUCAUAAUUCUUUACACAUACACAAGAGAAAUCACACUGGAUUGAACCCUUAUUAAUGUAAUCACUGUGGUAAUACCUUGGCAACUCACUACCAUCUGCAAGUACAUAAUAGAACACAUUCAAGAGAGUAACUUUAUGAGUGUAAUCAGUUUAUUCACCCAUUGCUUUUCACAAUGAUCUCUGCAUACAUAAAAGAACACAUACUGUAGAGAAACUGCAUGAAUGUAAUGAAUGAAGCAAACCCUUUCCAGGAUACAGUCAUCACUGAAUACACAAAUGAACACGUCCAGGAGAGAAACAUUAUGAAUUUAAUCAAUGUGAUAGAGUCUUUGCAUAUAACAGUCAUUUCCAAAUGCAUUAAUGAGCACAUAGUGAAGAGAAGCCCUAUGAUUAUAAUAAAUGUGGUAAAACCUUUGCAUGUCACUGACUCUCCAAAUACUUAAGGAAACACACUCUUUAGAGAAACCUUAUGAGUGUUGUGAAUGUGGGAAAGCCUUUGCAUAUCACUAUAGUCUCCAAAGAAAUAAAAGAACACAAACUGGACAGAAAUCUUGUGAAUGUACUCAAAUUGGAAAUACUUAACAUGCCACAGUAGACUCUGAAUACAUAAAAGAACACAUUCUACAGAAAAACCUUAUAAAUAUAAUCAAUAUGGUAAAGCC